CUAAAAUGCGUUAGUUUUGCGGUGUAGACUUGAAACGGGACUAGGAGAGACAGACAGCUCAAAUACAAUCUGGAUAUGGGGCCUUCUUAGGUGCUGGGAAGUAGCUGUUUACUGAGAGGCCAUAUUUCCCAAGUGAGAUCUACCCAAAUCCAUGUCUGAAAAGCAUUGGGAAACACUCACAAGCAACAGCAGCGUCAAGUAAGUCAUGCUGGCUCAAAUCUACUGUGUAGAUGCCUGGCCAUCAGCAGGCAUGGCCUGGCUCCAGUGAAUACACUGGUGUGUGAAUUACUCAUGGUGGAAAUGGUGAAAUAGGAAAUGAAAGACUGAGUUGUGGAAGAUGGUGUGCGGGAAGAAGAACUUGGGAGUCUUAAUAAAGGAAAGCAUUUCAGGCUGAGUGUCCAAGGGGAGCAGGAAUAUAUCAGGAAAGGGUGUGUAUAGGAGACAUGGCUGCCUCAGCAAGUGAGGACAACCCAGAGACCCAGGAUAAAUGCUAUGACUGUGAGCAAAGAGGAUGAGGGUGUUGAUGAAGGAACAAGGAAGUAGGCAAGCAAGAAGGGCAAGAAAGGAUGACAUUUGUUUUUCCAAGUUUUAUGUCUUACUAUAGAGAAGUAGUGUGCUUUUCAGAUGCGGGUCCUCAUGGGAACUCAUGGGUGCAUCUCAGAAGCUGCCUGUCCAACUAAGGAGGGAACGGUGGGAGACAGGUGAAAUACGCUUUCUUUCAUUUCAACUGCGUUCACAACUUGUGUCUUUAAAAGAAAUGAAUUGCUCUGAGUAUAAACACCUUACAGAAAAGCUGACUCGUGAGAGCCCUUGGACUGAUCGCUUGAGCAGAAGGAAGAGUGGCCCUUUGCUGUGGGACACAAGGAAACAGGUCAAGAGAAGCAGACAUGGGUGAACAAAUAAGACAAAAGCGGCGAGAAGUGCAUCUUUGCCAUUCUCUAAUAUCAACAGAAGAAUCUGUGCUAUUCCCACAGUCCGUGUCCAGACUUUUAGUCAUUAACCCCAAUCAGGGUCUCACUGUCCUCUGUGACACAUAUCUACGGUCUUCCGCCCUCAUUCCUUUCUCUCUUCCUCAGUUUUGCUCUGCAUCUCCGAGGUCUUUUUCUCUGCGCUCCACGCCACAGUCAGGACUUUGCACUAUUGAUUGUUUCCUUCUCUUAGAGCAGCUCUUCAGAUCACGAUUGCAUUUUGACUCUCUGAGAAUUUCCUCAUUUCGUUGAGCCCCCAUUGUUCAAGCCUGACUCUCAAUCUCUAUCUGAGAAACAAGACGGGAGGAUGAAAGGGGUCCCUUCGAUGGCCAGUUCAUCUAGCUGCCAGCUGUGUCCCCCAUUAGACCGUGUCACAGUCAUCUCAUUUUUCCUCUUUUGUUUCAUAUCCCCAUUUUCUAGGAAGUUUUCCUAAAUUUAGUUGACGGCACAAAGCAGAGACGGUCCCCCUUGCCUUACAAUACUUGUAGUCUGAGGCACACAUUUUUCUGUCUCUUCGGUGUGAUAUUUAUUACCCCUUGCCGUGACUAGGGCUUUUAUUUCACCAGGAAUGUUCUCAAUUUACAAUCAUUCAACCUUAAAACUAGGUGAAUGGAUGAAGCCGGCUUCCCUUUGACCCCUGACCACAGGUGAGUAGCUGACCCCUCUGUCCCCUUCUUGUUCACCUGGCUGCUGGUGCUGUAGGCUACAGGAGACGUGGUCACACUUGUUCAUUCUCAUUUUCAGCUGACUGAUGAAGCCGCCAGAGGGGAGAAGAAAGAGAGGGGAGGCCACGGGCCAAGUCCCUGUUCCUUAGUUUCCAUGUUUGCUUAAACUCUUGUCCCAAGGCUUGUCGCCUUUGUGUUUAAGUCUCAUUUGUUCUAUUUCUUGUUCAGGUACAAAGGGUAGCUCUAAACAAAUAUUGGAGCCUUGUGAAGAAAUUCAACUCAUAGAAGCAUUUCCCUAUAAAAAAUACCACAUGUUUUCUCACAUCUGAGGUACCUAGAUUUUAUAUAGGCAUAAAAUCAUAUAUGUGUCUAGGACACAAAAUUAGAAGCAAAACUGUCUAGGAGAACAAAGGAAACUAAUGGGAGGGGACAA